AAGUCGUAACAAGGUCUCCGUAGGUGAACCUGCGGAGGGAUCAUUACACACGUAUCCCAAAAUACGUUUUCAAACCAAACCGUGCUCUUUUUUUAUUUUUUUACCUGUAGUGUAACGGGAACUAUAUGACAUAAAAGGUGGAUUGAGAAUACCCCUUAAACCCGGGUGUACUCAAGGCAUAUAGUUCAUACCAAACUGAUACAUUGCAGUAGUAAAUCCUUUAGCCACCUGGCUACAUGUGCCAAACCGGUUCCGACCCGGAGCCUUGUAGCCUUAUUGCUCCGUUUUUUUUUACCCCUUUCUUUUUUUUGAACUGAAACAUGUUGUUUUAGCCUACCUUUUGUGUAGUGUCUUGAACACACAUAUACGAAAUGUAAAAAAGAACAACUGUUAGCAAUGGAUAUCUUGGUUCUC
rnacentral:misc_RNA from 1 species